rnacentral:rRNA from 1 species
UACGUAGGGGGCGAGCGUUGUCCGGAUUCAUUGGGCGUAAAGCGCGCGCAGGCGGUUGGGCGAGCCCGGCGUGAAAGCCCCCAGCUCAACUGGGGGAGGCCGUCGGGGACCUUCCGACUGGAGGCCGGUAGGGGCGAGCGGAAUUCCCGGUGUAGUGGUGGAAUGCGUAGAUAUCGGGAGGAACACCAGUGGCGAAGGCGGCUCGCUGGACCGGUCCUGACGCUCAGGCGCGAAAGCCAGGGGAGCAAACGGG